rnacentral:rRNA from 1 species
UUUGUCCUACGGGAGGCAGCAGUGGGGAAUAUUGCACAAUGGGCGCAAGCCUGAUGCAGCGACGCCGCGUGCGGGAUGGAGGCCUUCGGGUUGUAAACCGCUUUUGUUCAAGGGCAAGGCACGGUCUUUGGCCGUGUUGAGUGGAUUGUUCGAACAAGCACCGGCUAACUACGUGCCAGCAGCCGCGGUAAUACGUAGGGUGCAAGCGUUAUCCGGAUUUAUUUGGCGUAAAGGGCUCGCAGGCGGGUCGUCUC